rnacentral:RNase_P_RNA from 1 species
GGAAGGCAGUGGAUGGUCGCCCGAAAGGGAGGAACGUCCGGGCACUCUUUGUUCACUUUACUGUGGCAAUGACAAUGGUGGUUGAUAACGUCAACCGUCCCGUACUCGAUACGGGAUCGGGAUAGCGCAACAGAAACAUACCGCUUCGCGCAAGCGGAGUAAGGGUGAAAUCGCGGUGUAAGAGACCACGCGUGACGCUGGCAACAGUGUUACGGGGCAAGCCCCACCUAGUGCAAUCGCAAACAAAGGUAGCGAGCUUCCUAAUUCAUAGGAGAGGUAUACUGCAAAGUAUACUCAAGAUAGAUGGCUAUCGCCAAAGGAUUGUUAUGCUCCGAGGCAACUUUGGAACAGAACCCGGCGUACAGCUGCCCUCCGCUG